GCAAGUCGAGCGGUAACAGAAAGUAGCUUGCUACUUUGCUGACGAGCGGCGGACGGGUGAGUAAUGCUUGGGAACAUGCCUUGAGGUGGGGGACAACAGUUGGAAACGACUGCUAAUACCGCAUAACGUCUACGGACCAAAGGGGGCUUCGGCUCUCGCUUCAGGAUAUGCCCAGGUGGGAUUAGCUAGUUGGUGAGGUAAUGGCUCACCAAGGCGACGAUCCCUAGCUGGUCUGAGAGGAUGAUC
rnacentral:rRNA from 1 species